rnacentral:rRNA from 1 species
UACGAAGGGGGCUAGCGUUGCUCGGAAUUACUGGGCGUAAAGCGCACGUAGGCGGAUUGUUAAGUCGGGGGUGAAAUCCUGGAGCUCAACUCCAGAACUGCCUUCGAUACUGGCGAUCUCGAGUUCGGGAGAGGUGAGUGGAACUGCGAGUGUAGAGGUGAAAUUCGUAGAUAUUCGGAGGAACACCAGUGGCGAAGGCGGCUCACUGGACCGGUAUUGACGCUGAGGUGCGAAAGCGUGGGGAGCAAACAGG